GAUGAACGCUAGCGACAGGCCUAACACAUGCAAGUCGAGGGGUAGCAGGAUGUAGCAAUACAUCGCUGACGACCGGCGCACGGGUGAGUAACGCGUAUGCAACCUACCUUCUACAGGGGGAUAGCCCGGAGAAAUCCGGAUUAAUACCCCAUAAAACAGGGACUCCGCAUGGAGAUAUUUGUUAAAGAUUAAUCGGUAGAAGAUGGGCAUGCGUUCCAUUAGCCAGUUGGUGAGGUAACGGCUCACCAAAGCAACGAUGGAUAGGGGAGCUGAGAGGUUUAUCCCCCACACUGGAACUGAGACACGGACCAGACUCCUACGGGAGGCAGCAGUGAGGAAUAUUGGUCAAUGGGCGCGAGCCUGAACCAGCCAAGUCGCGUGAAGGAAGACUGCCUUAUGGGUUGUAAACUUCUUUUAUAUGAGAAUAAAAAGAGUUACGUGUAACUUAUUGCAAGUAUCAUAUGAAUAAGCAUCGGCUAACUCCGUGCCAGCAGCCGCAGUAA
rnacentral:rRNA from 1 species